rnacentral:rRNA from 1 species
UACGUAGGGGGCAAGCGUUGUCCGGAAUCAUUGGGCGUAAAGCGCGCGUAGGCGGCUUUGUAAGUUAGAGGUGAAAGCCCGGGGCUCAACCCCGGAACUGCCUUUAAGACUGCAUCGCUUGAAUCCAGGAGAGGUGAGUGGAAUUCCGAGUGUAGAGGUGAAAUUCGUAGAUAUUCGGAAGAACACCAGUGGCGAAGGCGGCUCACUGGACUGGUAUUGACGCUGAGGUGCGAAAGCGUGGGGAGCAAACAGG